rnacentral:rRNA from 1 species
UGCAGUCGGACGGUAGCACAGAGGAGCUUGCUCCUUGGGUGACGAGUGGCGGACGGGUGAGUAGUGUCUGGGGAUCUGCCCGAUAGAGGGGGAUAACCACUGGAAACGGUGGCUAAUACCGCAUAACGUCGCAAGACCAAAGAGGGGGACCUUCGGGCCUCUCACUAUCGGAUGAACCCAGAUGGGAUUAGCUAGUAGGCGGGGUAAUGGCCCACCUAGGCGACGAUCCCUAGCUGGUCUGAGAGGAUGACCAGCCACACUGGAACUGAGACACGGUCCAGACUCCUACGGGAGGCAGCAGUGGGGAAUAUUGCACAGUGGGCGCAAGCCUGAUGCACCCAUGCCGCGUGUAUGAAGAAGGCCUUCGGGUUGUAAAGUACUUUCAGCGGGGAGGAAGGCGAUGCGGUUAAUAACCGCGUCGAUUGACGUUACCCGCAGAAGAAGCACCGGCUAACUCCGUGCCAGCAGCCGCGGUAAUACGGAGGGUGCAAGCGUUAAUCGGAAUUACUGGGCGUAAAGCGCACGCAGGCGGUCUGUUAAGUCAGAUGUGAAAUCCCCGGGCUUAACCUGGGAACUGCAUUUGAAACUGGCAGGCUUGAGUCUUGUAGAGGGGGGUAGAAUUCCGGGU